UACGGAGGGAGCUAGCGUUGUUCGGAAUUACUGGGCGUAAAGCGCACGUAGGCGGCUUUGUAAGUUAGAGGUGAAAGCCCGGGGCUCAACUCCGGAACUGCCUUUAAGACUGCAUCGCUAGAAUCCGGGAGAGGUGAGUGGAAUUCCGAGUGUAGAGGUGAAAUUCGUAGAUAUUCGGAAGAACACCAGUGGCGAAGGCGGCUCACUGGACCGGUAUUGACGCUGAGGUGCGAAAGCGUGGGGAGCAAACAGG
rnacentral:rRNA from 1 species